rnacentral:lncRNA from 1 species
ACAACUCCAAGCGGAUUUCCGCUCAGACUCCAAAUAUCCAAUCCACAUUAGAGCCAAUUGAGGACAAUGAUUGUGACUCGGCCUCUCUUGAAGAACUCCCUUUAUCAGGUCCGCAGCAGGGCCUGGUAAUCACAUCAACACCACAAGGCAGAUUCAUCUACUGGCCGGGCAUGAAGCCAUCCUUCCAUGCUCAAGACAAUGAGUCACUCCUCGUCGCACACUUGGAUAUCCUCCCAUCCCAAGAGGGUACUCCACUCUCACCGAUCCGCGAAGAAGAUGGCUCCACUGAAGUCAUCACAUCUAGCUCUGGAAGCUACUCUACGAUAGAGAACUCUUUGUUGUUGUUUCGCUAGCUGAUGGAAUAGGAACCAGCGAUCAACACCAAAGAACUCCUUGUCAGGAAUGCCAAAUCGAAGAAGUCUCCCAAGAUGAAUUAUUAGCUGACACUCCGGAGGGUGAAACUAGCAGCCAGAGAACUCAAAGAAGAGCAAGAAACACUCAGAGAGCGGAACAUCGUCGAUUUCUAGCCGCAAGAUUUCCCAUUGUGAACCUUGAUAGAGCAUUCGAAGCAGUACAAACAUGAGAACACAAUACGCCACUUGCCACUAUUGCCUGUAUUAGCCUUACCGCCCGGUCAAUGCCUCCAAACAAAUACAGCGAUCUCCUGUCAUACUUGGCAGAACACGCAUACAAACUCCUCGACAAGGAAACACCAAUCUCAUCCGUG